GUUUUCAGAACUGGAUGCUAAACUCUGGCUGAUGACCCUAGGCACCACAUAUGAGUAAAAUCACUGAGGCUCUAGCCUGGCAUCUUC